UUUAUUAUUACCUAUUAUCUAUUAAAUAUUAUAUACGAUUUGUGAAUAAUUGUAAUAGAUGAGAUAUGUCAUACCUACCUACAAGUUAGAAACUGUAAAAGUGAGAACUGAAAAACGUCAAGACUCAAGCAACAAGUUUUAACGGUUAACCUGUAACCGUUAGUAGGCCAUGGAAUAGUUACCUCCUCGGGACAGUCUAAAAAUAAUACAAACAGCAAAUCGACUUGGUCACCUAUAGUUGUGUUCCAACCAAUCAUAUUAUCUUUGUUCCGUGGAAAUCCAUCAAUCAGAAACCUGUUGGCUGCUGAUGCUACCAUUGCAUUUUGUAUGAGUUUACAAGUAACUUCUACAGGUACUAUUGUACCGUUCUUUAUGUGAGUAUCAAUUAAUUCUCCAUAUUUGCUAUCUGGUUUACUACGUUCGGCUCUUAAUAGAUCACCCGCAGAUAGGUGAACAAAGCCAAAUUUAGAUACUAUGUUAGAACAUUGCGUACCCUUACCAGCACCUGGGCCUCCGAGAACAAAUACCACUUGAGGUUUGCUCAUGAUCAACAAACGGUAUACAGAACGGAAGAAUACCAUGAAAAUAACUAAAACAUCAUUGUUUUGAGUUCUUAUGUUGUAUAAUUGAAAGAUAUAAUUUUAAGCUACGUACAACAGAUAAGUAUUUAUGUAAUACUAUUUUUUUAAUUAAUGUAAUUUAUCAGUUAAAAAAAAAAAACAGCAAAUAAUUCAUUAGCAAGCC